rnacentral:rRNA from 1 species
UACGGAGGGUGCAAGCGUUAUCCGGAUUUACUGGGUUUAAAGGGUGUGUAGGCGGGCUUUUAAGUCAGUGGUGAAAUCUCCGGGCUCAACCCGGAAACUGCCAUUGAUACUAUUAGUCUUGAAUUUUGUUGAGGUAGGCGGAAUAAGUCAUGUAGCGGUGAAAUGCUUAGAUAUGACUUAGAACACCAAUUGCGAAGGCAGCUUGCUAAACAAAUAUUGACGCUGAGGCACGAAAGCGUGGGAUCAAACAGG